CGGAGGGUGCAAACGUUGCUCGGAAUCAUUGGGCGUAAAGCGCACGUAGGCGGUCCAGUAAGUCGGGUGUGAAAGCCCUCGGCUUAACCGAGGAAGUGCAUUCGAAACUGCUGGACUUGAAUACUGGAGAGGAUCGCGGAAUUCCCGGUGUAGAGGUGAAAUUCGUAGAUAUCGGGAGGAACACCAGUGGCGAAGGCGGCGAUCUGGACAGAUAUUGACGCUGAUGUGCGAAAGCGUGGGGAGCAAACAGGAUUAGAUACCCUGGUAGUCCACGCCGUAAACGAUGGAUGCUAGUCGUCGCGGGUAUUGACCCCUGCGGUAACGCAGUUAACGCAUUAAGCAUCCCGCCUGGGGAGUACGGCCGCAAGGCUA
rnacentral:rRNA from 1 species